CCUACGGGAGGCAGCAGUGAGGAAUAUUGGUCAAUGGGCGCAAGUCUGAACCAGCCAAGUAGCGUGAAGGAUGACUGCCCUAUGGGUUGUAAACUUCUUUUAUAUGGGAAUAAACUGCAGUACGUAUACCGCUUUGCAUGUACCUUAUGAAUAAGGAUCGGCUAACUCCGUGCCAGCAGCCGCGGUAAUACGGAGGAUUCGAGCGUUAUCCGGAUUUAUUGGGUUUAAAGGGAGCGUAGGGGGUUUGUUAAGUCAGUUGUGAAAGUUUGCGGCUCAACCUUAAAAUUGCAGUUGAUACUGGCAUCCUUGAGUACAGUUGAGGUAGGCGGAAUUCGUGGUGUAGCGGUGAAAUGCUUAGAUAUCACGAAGAACUCCGAUUGCGAAGGCAGCCUGCUGGACUGUAUCUGACGCUGAUGCUCGAAAGUGUGGGUAUCAAACAGGAUUAGAUACCCGAGUAGUC
rnacentral:rRNA from 1 species